UUCCGGUGUGAUCCUGCCGGACCCUACUGCUAUCGGGGUGGGACUAAGCCAUGCGAGUUGAACGUCUCACAGCCACGAGUGAGACGUAGCAUACGGCUCAGUAACACGUGGUUAACCUACCCUUGAGACGGAGACAACCCCGGGAAACUGGGGCUAAUCUCCGAUAGACGAAAACUCCUGGAAUGGGUUUUCGUUCAAAAGGCGUUAUGGUCAUGCUCCAUGACGUUGCUCAAGGAUGGGGCCGCGGCCGAUCAGGUAGUUGGUGAGGUAACGGCUCACCAAGCCUAUAACCGGUUCGGGCCGUGAGAGCGGGAGCCCGGAGAUGGGCACUGAGACAAGGGCCCAGGCCCUACGGGGCGCAGCAGUCGCGAAACCUCCGCAAUACGCGAAAGCAUGACGGGGCCAUCCCGAGUGCCGUCCGCUGAGGAUGGCUUUUCCCCAGUGUAGAUAGCUGGGGGAAUAAGGAGAGGGCAAGUCUGGUGUCAGCCGCCGCGGUAAUACCAGCUCUCCGAGUGGUGGGGACGUUUAUUGGGCUUAAAGCAUCCGUAGCCGGCUGGGCAAGUCCCCUGUUAAAUCUAACGAUUCAAUCGUUGGAUUGCGGGGGAUACUGCUCGGCUAGGGGGCGGGAGAGGCCGACGGUAUUCCCGGGGUAGGGGUGAAAUCCUAUAAUCCCGGGAGGACCACCAGUGGCGAAGGCUGUCGGCUAGAACGCGCCCGACGGUGAGGGAUGAAAGCUGGGGGAGCGAACCGGAUUAGAUACCCGGGUAGUCCCAGCUGUAAACGAUGCAGCUAGUGUUCGGGCGGCCACGUGCCGCUCGAGUGCCGCAGGGAAACUGUUAAGCCUGCUGCCUGGGGAGUACGGCCGCAAGGCUGAAACUUAAA
rnacentral:rRNA from 1 species